rnacentral:lncRNA from 1 species
GCACAUUCACAGAAAAUGCAGCAGUUCUCUGCUCUGGCUGAUCGCUUCGCCUCCUGUUUGCAGGAUGGAAGAAACAGGUUUUAUUUGGAGUUUUGAAGGCUGAGAAAUCUAAGGUCAAAGGACCACAUCUAGUGAGAGCCUUCUUGCUGAUGGGGACUCCCUUCAGAGGCCGGAAGCAGUGUGGGACAUCAUAUGGUGAGAUGGGUGAGUGUGCUGGCUUAAAUCUU